UGAGUAACGCGUAAUCAACCUGCCCUUCAGAGGGGGACAACAGUUGGAAACGACUGCUAAUACCGCAUACGAUCCAAUCUCGGCAUCGAGACUGGAUGAAGGUGGCCUCUAUUUAUAAGCUAUCACUGAAGGAGGGGAUUGCGUCUGAUUAGCUAGUUGGAGGGGUAACGGCCCACCAAGGCGAUGAUCAGUAGCCGGUCUGAGAGGAUGAACGGCCACAUUGGGACUGAGACACGGCCCAG
rnacentral:rRNA from 1 species